CUCAGAAUUUGUCCCUUUUUCCACUUUAUGAUAGGCGGACUUCCACAUUUUGGGGAAGAAAGAUGAGAACUAUUGCAUAGUAUCAGACAAUAUAACACAUUUAAAUACAAACGAGUGGCCGCAGGAAACCAUGUAGAUAUUUCAUUGAGUGACAAGUAAAAGGGAACUGCAUCUUUUGGCUAAAGAGGUUAACUUGAAGCACAUUAACACCAUUCAGAAGUCGUGCAUUUUAACGGCAAAAUAUACAAUCACGGUUUACAUUUUUUCACCGAAGAGGGUGAAUAUUGGUGUUGCACGGGUACUGCACUUUUAUUGGACAGGAAAUUAUCGUACCUUUCAGGAAACUGUGUGUGUUUUAUCGCUGUAUUAUAAUAUCGGGAGAAACCGCUAUGUAUUGUACACACCUUUCGUAAUUCGAUUGCAGUUCCUGUGGUGUCAUUUGAAUGAAAACAGACUGAAUAAAAAAUGACGAUGGAAGGACAAGAUUCACCGUUAUGUGAUCUAGAACAGUCAUGAACUAAGACUGCUUUUGUAUGUGUAUAAAGCAGUUGAAUAUGAGAAGAAUCUACAUAUAGAACUGCCUGAACCUCAGUUCUUGAAGGCUAAAGUCAUUUAAUCCAAAGCAGUACUGAGAAGUGUUUUACCAUGAUGUGUGUGUACUACCAGGUUUUGCACAUCUUCCACUGAAUAUGCUGUAGAGGACAAUCUUGCUCCUUCGGACAUAGUGAUUCUUAAACCUGUAGAGACUAGUCCUUUUUGCAGUCAUGCCAAAUCCUAAUGCUGCAGCCCAGAACACAAGUACAAGUUACAUUUGUGUGAUGUGUGGGGAUAAUUUUGUGAGGUUUGCAAGCCUCCGAGAACAUCAGAAAGUUCACAACUUGAAUCCCUAUACUGAGCAUUAUCAAGCAAAAAAGGAUGCUCUGAUAUGCGCUGAAUGUGGAUCAAAGUUCAGAUAUGAGUCGGAGCUUUUCAAACACAGACAGAUCCAUACUGGAAAGAGAGACACUCCUGAGAAGUAUUCUGAUUUAAAACACCUUGAAACUCAAAGAGAUAGUGCUAGACAAAGUGGAGAGAGAAAAUUUAAAUGUGCCUCAUGUGGGAAGGUUCUCUCAACCCGAGCAGCUUAUGUAAACCAUGUGCGAAUUCAUACAAGAAAAAAAUACACAAAUAAUCAUGGUAAUGUGAAAAAAAUUUGACCUUCAGCAAAUACAGAAGUACCAGCAAAUUCUCACCAAAUAGACAUGUGCACUAGUGAGAACAUUCUGCCAAGUCGGUAAACUUUUUAUGCACAUAUACUGAAUUAUAUUGGAAUGAAACCAUUUAAAUGUGUUAAGAAGCAACUUUCACAGCCACAUCUUACCAUAGACAUGGAAAUCCAUAAUGCAAAGGAAGACAAUAACCUGGAAGAAGAAUGUGAUAUGAAAGGACUUGAACAAGAAGUGGUAUAUAAUUAUCUUUGAAUAGAUGUGAAGGGUCAGCAAUGCAGCAUAAACAAGAAGAAAGCUUAGUACGGAGUAUUAAACUGCUGCGACUUCCAUGAAUAUAAAGUUCUAGCUAUUAAAUCAGCUUGCUCUUGUUCUAACUUAUACUUUUAGUGCGAUUGACUGGCCCUGAAAAGUGAUGGGUAUUUUGGAAAGGAAAACAAGAAAAGUGCUCCAUGCAUAUUAAAUCUUGACAUGCACUGUUUUUUAUAUAUAAUCUAUCACCUGGUUUGAGGGAGGUCUCCUAAAAAUUGUAUGCGUUUGUCUGCAGUCUUGAGACUGCAUUAUAUAUUUACCGACAUCAGAUCCAAACACAGUGGGGUGUCCUAAACCAUGAUGAGUCUUAAGAUGACAUGUUUGCUCAGGAGCAUUUUGUAAAAGAGUGAAUGUGGAAAUCAAACCCAACUGUUGACAAAACAAAAAGAGAGAGAGAGAAAAAAUGGGUAGCAGCAGAAGUAUAAAAAUGUGUGAUAUGAAGAAAAGGAGAGAAAACUGUAAAGCUCACAGUUAAAGUGCCAAGUGUAACAAACAUCUAAAACCAUAUAAUGAUCUAUAUUUGACUCAUGAAUGGCUAAGAAGAGGAAAAUUAAGCCAAAAGAUGACAUGUUAAGGAUGGUAGCUCAAGUUAGUGGGCACCAAAACACACUGUUUUGUAAAAUUUAUUGAAAAACUGUGAGAGAAAAAUAAUAGCGGCAGUUGCAUAUUUUGAAGCUGGUUGUGAAAUACUUAUGACCUGAAGGUCUGCAUACUUAAAAGCAUAGUAAUGUAGCAUGAUUGCUGCACUGGGGAUUGUGCAAGCACCGCAACAUACAGAUAGCUGAGGCACAUUGAAAACAUGAAUAAAAAAGAAUGACUUAAAAUGAAGAAGUACUUAUAAUAUUGGAUCAUCUAAUGCCAACAGCUCAGAAAAUAGACAUUAGAAAAACAAACAUUUCAGAUGAAAAGGGACAGCAGCAUUAAUUUCUGAAGCAGCUAUACCCAGGAACUAGAGUAUCUUGCAUAUUGAGAGACAGAAUACCAGGAUAUGUAAGCAGAAACCAGAGCAUUUUGAAGUAAAAAUACUUGCAUAUACUUCCUGAGGCACAUAGGAGCAAUAACAAUUUCAAACUUGCCUAAAGAUGCUACCAGUAUAGGUAACUCCAUAUGAACUACAAGAGGUUCUGGGUACGCUGUGAAUAUUGAGAAAUGCAUUCUUGGCAAACAUCAAAGACUGAAGCAGUACUUAUUUCAUGAACUUCAAUUUUUACCCAGACUUAACUGUGGGGUUCAUUCUGUCACAGUAUUAGAAACUCUAAAUGUGUAGUAAAAUUGAAAAAAAAAGUAGAGAGAGGAUUUAAGAAGCGUGUAGAAGGUAUGCCUUACCUGUCAGCAUAAAUGCAAAGUUACAGUACAUGCAAACAGUGAAAUGUUCUAACAAAAUGUAGAAAAGAUGGGUCUAAACUGCAUGCAUGCUUCUUCAUGAUGGCGAGAAAAAGUUUAGUAGUUCUGAUUUGGAAAUGUCUGGUUCUAUUCAUUUUUAAGAAGCACAAACAGCAUAACAAUGCAGGGAACCAUUUAAAAAUGCCUUGAUGUUGAGAUGUUUCUUGUGCCCCCCCCCCCCACCACUUUUUGCCAUGUGGUAGUUAAGUUAUAUGAGAAAAGGGUAACAUGCAUGUACAGUUUGCAGGAAGAGUUUUAAAUUUUUACUAGAAAAUGUAUUCUCAGAGGAAGGGGGAAGCACACCUGUUUUCUAUAUAGUAUAACUUGACAGAAAUUGAGACAAACACAAAAUAAAUUUGAAAGUGAAAUGUAGAUUUAAAGUAAAUAUUCAUUCUAAACUGUACAGAUGGAAUAAACAACUGGCACAAAGUGCAUACUGAAUUUUGAAAAAUGUGAAGAUUUUAACAAAAGAUUAAAUAGCGAACAGGUUACUUUAAUGUUGAGCACAUUCAGUCUAAAACGUAGACUUCAGAACAUAAAUUGCAUGUUCAUUAAAACAGUUCUUUAAUAAUGAAAAAAAUAGAUUCCACUCAGUUACAUGGUUCUUACCAGAUACAGCACGAUAAAAAUAAAAACCUUAAUUUCAAACAUAAAACGUGAAAAAAAGCAUAUUCUAAUGAAGUAUUCCUCUCCUGUCCUUGUGUAUUAACAUCCCUACUGUUUUCUUGACAUAGACGUUUGUACAAAAAUAUUUUGAAAAAGGAUAUUAAACACAGAAUUUAUGAGCACUGUUAUGUUAUUAAGAAGCAACAGACAAAAAAUGCACUUUAGAGAUGCAGCUUGACAUGCAAUGGCUUCUGAAAAUGUCUGUGUAUUUGAUAGUGUAGAUUUAUCAGUCUGAUGCGGAGAUUACAAAUCCACAUUGAGGAAAAAGGGAAGCUGGGUGGCAAGUGGAAGUUAAAUGUAUCUGUUAGUCCCAGUUUAAAUGAUGUAAUAUCAAUGAGAAUCAUUUAAAAAUUUAAGUGACAAGAAAAGCAAUGUGUACUUCAUUAAGAUUCGCAUCUGUUGUUUGUUGUUCUUACCUGAUUCUUAUUCUUUUAUUGUUUAAAGAUUGGUCUAAUGAAUGUGUAAUGCUUGUUCUGAAGAAGUUAUGUUUUAAGAAGAAAGUGUUCAGCAUUAAAUGGCAAGUUGCCCUGUA